ensembl:lncRNA
CCCCCACCCACCCCCCUGCUCCUUCUCCAGAGGACCUUAGGUCCUCAAGUCCCUGAGCGGUGGCAGCGGCGACUGUGGGUGCAUCGUUUCCGCGCCCAGAUUUUAUUGAUCUGAUCCAACCUGUCUUGUGACUGCUAGCUGGAAUUAAGAAGAAAAAAUAAACACCAAUAUCUUGACACAUGGGAGCCAAAUGUUCCAACUGACAUUCAUGCUGUCUGGAUUUGUUUUAUUUUGGAAUGAAUAUUACCAAGCUUGUUUGCAGUUAAAGGAUCUUUGUUCCCUGACCCAGAAUUGGUACCUCUGCCACCUGCAGCAGAAGCACAGAGUCUUGACCACUGGACUGCCAGGGAAGGCCCUGCAUCAACUUCUUUAAAAUAAGAAUAUUCUUUUUCUGGCCAUUUUACUGUUAAUUCAACUGUUAGAACAUGAGCAGUGGAAAGUGCAAAUAAAGUAAAACCCAAGCUAUUUUUG